UACGUAGGGUGCGAGCGUUAAUCGGAAUUACUGGGCGUAAAGCGUGCGCAGGCGGUUUUGUAAGCCAGAUGUGAAAGCCCCGGGCUUAACCUGGGAAUGGCAUUUGGGACUGCAAGGCUAGAGUCCGGAAGAGGCGAGUGGAAUUCCUGGUGUAGCGGUGAAAUGCGCAGAUAUCAGGAGGAACACCAAUGGCGAAGGCAGCUCGCUGGGACGGUACUGACGCUGAGACGCGAAAGCGUGGGGAGCAAACAGG
rnacentral:rRNA from 1 species